AUAGGAGAUAAGAAGGCAUCUUUUUAUUUUUAAAAGACCUAGCAAUAGGUAUGCUUAGGGAAGAGCUUGCGUCACAUUAGUUAGUUGGUGGGGUAAUGGCCUACCAAGACGAUGAUGUGUAGCCGGGCUGAGAGGUCGAACGGCCACAUUGGGACUGAGACACGGCCCAAACUCCUACGGGAGGCAGCAGUAAGGAAUUUUCGGCAAUGGAGGAAACUCUGACCGAGCAAUGCCGCGUGAACGAUGAAGUAUUUCGGUACGUAAAGUUCUUUUAUUAGGGAAGAAAAGAUGGUGGAAAAACCAUUAUGACGGUACCUAAUGAAUAAGCCCCGGCUAACUAUGUGCCAGCAGCCGCGGUAAUACAUAGGGGGCAAGCGUUAUCCGGAAUUAUUGGGCGUAAAGGGUGCGUAGGCGGUUAAAUAAGUUUAUGGUCUAAGUGCAACGCUCAACGUUGUGAUGCUAUAAAAACUGUUUAGCUAGAGUUGGAUAGAGGCAAGUGGAAUUCCGUGUGUAGUGGUAAAAUGCGUAAAUAUACGGAGGAACACCAGAAGCGAAGGCGGCUUGCUGGGUCUUAACUGACGCUGAGGCACGAAAGCGUGGGGAGCAAACAGGAUUAGAUACCCUGGUAGUCCACGCCCUAAACGAUGAGUACUAAACGUUGGAUAAAACCAGUGUUGAAGUUAACACAUUAAGUACUCCGCCUGAGUAGUACGUACGCAAGUAUGAAACUUAAAGGAAUUGACGGGACUCCGCACAAGCGGUGGAUCAUGUUGUUUAAUUCGAAGGUACCCGAAAAACCUCACCAGGUCUUGACAUGCUUUUGCAAAGCUGUAGAAAUACAGUGGAGGUUAUCAGAAGCACAGGUGGUGCAUGGUUGUCGUCAGCUCGUGUCGUGAGAUGUUGGGUUAAGUCCCGCAACGAGCGCAACCCUUGUUGUUAAUUGCCAUCAUUAAGUUGGGGACUUUAGCAAGACUGCCAAUGAUAAAUUGGAGGAAGGUGGGGACGACGUCAAAUCAUCAUGCCCCUUAUGACCUGGGCUACAAACGUGAUACAAUGGCUGUUACAAAGGGUAGCUAAAGCGUAAGCUUCUGGCGAAUCUCAAAAAAGCAGUUUCAGUUCGGAUUGAAGUCUGCAACUCGACUUCAUGAAGUUGGAAUCGCUAGUAAUCGCGAAUCAGCAUGUCGCGGUGAAUACGUUCU
rnacentral:rRNA from 1 species